rnacentral:rRNA from 1 species
UAGGGAAUCUUCGGCAAUGGGGGGAACCCUGACCGAGCAACGCCGCGUGAGUGAAGAAGGACUUCGGAUCGUAAAGCUCUGUUGUUAACGAAGAACGUGUGUGAGAAUGGAAAGUUCAUGCUGUGACGGUACUUAACCAGAAAGGGACGGCUAACUACGUGCCAGCAGCCGCGGUAAUACGUAGGUCCCGAGCGUUGUCCGGAUUUAUUGGGCGUAAAGCGAGCGCAGGCGGUUAGAAAAGUCUGAAGUGAAAGGCAGUGGCUCAACCAUUGUAGGCUUUGGAAACUGUUUAACUUGGGUGCAGAAGGGGAGAGUGGAAUUCCAUGUGUAGCGGUGAAAGGCGUAGAUAUAUGGAGGAACACCGGUGGCGAAAGCGGCUCUCUGGUCUGUAACUGACGCUGAGGCUCGACAGCGUGGGGAGCGAACAGG